AGCAGCCGCGGUAAUUCCAGCUCCAAUAGCGUAUAUUAAAGUUGUUGCAGUUAAAAAGCUCGUAGUUGAAUUUCGGGAUCAAUAUGUCUGUCGUGCCUUUGGUACGUACGGGUAUAAUUGGUUUCUACCUUCUGAUGAACCUUGAUGCCAUUAAUUUGGUGUCUUGGGGACUCAGGACUGUUACCUUGAAAAAAUUAGAGUGUUUAAAGCAGGCAUACGCUUGAAUACAUUAGCAUGGAAUAAUGAAAAUAGGACGUUCGAUUCUAUUUUGUUGGUUUCUAGGAUCGACAUAAUGAUUAAUAGGGAUAGUUGGGGGCAUUAGUAUUCAAUUGUCAGAGGUGAAAUUCUUGGAUUUAUUGAAGACUAACUACUGCGAAAGCAUUUGCCAAGGAUGUUUUCAUUAAUCAAGAACGAAAGUUAGGGGAUCGAAGACGAUCAGAUACCGUCGUAGUCUUAACCAUAAACUAUGCCGACUAGGGAUCGGAUGAUGUUAAUUUUUAAUGUACUCAUUCGGCGUACC
rnacentral:rRNA from 1 species